rnacentral:lncRNA from 1 species
CCAUAUAAACUACUAAUGUUCUCUUCCUCAGAGUUCCUGCCAGACCUUGGACCUUAACUUGCUUCUGACACAGACUUUGCUAGAAGCUUCCAGAGCAGGGCUGAGCACCUACAGAUGACUGGAGAACACCAAAGGCAGGCCAGGUGGGAAUGGAUGGCGGGAAAAGCCCUGUGAAUCUCAAGGCACCACACAGGGCACAGAGGGAGACCCCAGGUAACAUGCACAUGGUCAAAAAAUGGAACAAUAUGAACAAGAUAGUAAGCAAAGUCUUACUGCAAUGCCCUUCCAGUUUGCCCCAGUACCAGCCCUGCCUCCUCCAGCUGAAGCUGAAAAAUGAAAACCUACGAUCUGAAGUCAAAAGUCAAAUGUGUGAAGAAUAAACCAUGAAAUUAGUUCUGUCCGCUCCACCAGCUUUCUGAAUCCAGGAAGGCAAAGUCCAUUUGCAUUUUGUAACUGCUGACAAAGGUGUCCAAAUAAGAAGUACCCCCACGAAGUUUCUAUAUAGUCCGAAUGUACACACUAGCAUCGCUGAUGAAGGAAACAAAUUCUGCAGAGCAGAGGGGACUUAUCCAAGAAUUCUUCAGUAAUCAA